rnacentral:lncRNA from 1 species
GGCACACUGAGUCUGACGCGGUCUCUGCCCCCUCCCCUGCAGGAACUCUGCCCCCCGGCCCCUGCAUGGCAAGCUGGAGGCCAUCCACGGCUGCGUGCAGGCCCUGCUGCGGGACCCGGUGCAGCCACAGCUGUGGGAGCAGCUGGGGCAGGUCUACGAGUCGGAGCAGGACUGGGAGGAGGCCGUGCGGUGCUACCAGAACGCGGCCCGCUACCAGCGCGACUAUGGCAGCUACAGUGAGAUCAGUGCCCGCAUCGGGCGCCUGCAGCAGGCUCAGCUGUGGAAUUUCCACUCGGGCUCGUCCCAUCACCGGAACAAGGCCCUGCCCCCCCUGCAGCAGGUGUGGAACCUCCUGCACCUCGAGAAGCGGAAAUUUCUCAGCCAAGCGCAGCCCCCAGCUGAAGCGGCCC